GUACUGUACCAAAUCAAUGUACACCUGUAGAAAGGGCAAUUCUGGAAACACUAGAGAAAAUGGACAUGAAGAUCCACCAUCUGACUUCAUUGGUUCAGUCUCUAGUGGGGGACAGGCGUGUUGUACCCCAAAUACAGAUGGCUGAAGAGGAAGAGUGUGUUUUUCCUCUAGCAUCUACUGCAGACCUAGAUAGGCUGGAACAAAGAUUAUCAGACAGAGGGUUUAUGCAGAGAAUGGUGAACAGAUUAUCCAUCAGUGGCGAGCCAAG